rnacentral:rRNA from 1 species
CUUUCCCUCUGGCUUCAUGCUUUACACAUGCAAGUCGAACGGCAGCGCGGGCUUCGGCCUGGCGGCGAGUGGCGAACGGGUGAGUAAUGCAUCGGAACGUGCCCAGUAGUGGGGGAUAGCCCGGCGAAAGCCGGAUUAAUACCGCAUACGACCUGAGGGUGAAAGCGGGGGACCGAAAGGCCUCGCGCUAUUGGAGCGGCCGAUGUCGGAUUAGCUAGUUGGUGGGGUAAAGGCUUACCAAGGCGACGAUCCGUAGCUGGUCUGAGAGGACGACCAGCCACACUGGGACUGAGACACGGCCCAGACUCCUACGGGAGGCAGCAGUGGGGAAUUUUGGACAAUGGGGGCAACCCUGAUCCAGCCAUGCCGCGUGCGGGAAGAAGGCCUUCGGGUUGUAAACCGCUUUUGUUCGGGAAGAAAUCCUCUGGGCUAAUACCCCGGGGGGAUGACGGUACCGGAAGAAUAAGCACCGGCUAACUACGUG